rnacentral:rRNA from 1 species
AUUGAACGCUGGCGGCAGGCCUAACACAUGCAAGUCGAGCGGAGCUGCGGACGGGUGAGUAAUGCCUAGGAAUCUGCCUGGUAGUGGGGGAUAACGUCCGGAAACGGGCGCUAAUACCGCAUACUAUCAGAUGAGCCUAGGUCGGAUUAGCUAGUUGGUGGGGGAAAGGCUUACCAAGGCGACGAUCCGUAACUGGUCUGAGAGGAUGAUCAGUCACACUGGGACUGAGACACGGUCCAGAAUCCUACGGGAGGCAGCAGUUGGGAAUAUUGGCCAAUGGGCGAAAGUCUGACCCAGCCAUGGCGCGUGAGUGAAGAAGGCCGUCGGAUUGUAAAGCACUUUGAGUUGGGAAGCGUUACCAAAAGAGAAAGCACCGGCUAACUACGUGCCAGCAGCCGCGGUAAUUC